ensembl:lncRNA
CUCUAACUUCUAAUACCUCCUCUUCCUCAGGAGCCUCCUUGGUGCAAAUUCCAAUUUGCUCCUGUCACUUCCUUUUCUGGUUCCUUCUUUGUGGAUGAAAAAAACGGGAUGCACCUGACCAGAACUGAGGCUAGAAUUUGAGGCUAGAAUUUUUACGUGAGAUACACCCGAUCUUGGUGCACCUCUGAGUUUCAUUCUCACACCUCUGUCAUACCAGUAUCACCCUGACAGGAAAUAAACAUGUAGGGACUGGGCGUCCCAGAAUUUCUGCCGUGUCUGCACUUCCGGUGGCCCAGGAUCACCCAUCUCUUCUUUUUAGAGUUCUUCGUUUGCUGCUAUCACACACACACAGCUCUUUUUGUCAGUUGUCAGUGUGUUUAAAAACCUGGUCUUACAUUUGGAUUUUAGCCUGCCUGAUGCUCUUCCAUCAGUUGCAUGACAUUUGCCUGUGGUAAUGUGUCUGCUUCCUUCUCUUCUUCAGUGGGAUCAUCUGACAACGAUGUGUCAGAAUUCUGUCAGCCUUCUUUCUCUCUUGAGCCAUCUCCUGUCCCAGAGUUACUAAGAAAUCCAUUCAAUUGGUCUUAUUUGAAACCAUUUUUCUUAGAAUUUGAUCUCUCUCUUAGUGGCUGCAGCAUCUCCUCAGAUAAAACAAUUGAUUUCUCUUCUCCUCACUAUCUUCCUUUCUUCUUCCUUUUUGUGUUGAGGUUGGAACCCUCUGCCUUACACAGAACAGCCGGGUGCUCUACCAUGCAACUACAACCCCAACCUCAAAGCAUUGGUUUUUCUUAAACAUCUCCCCUCUCCAUCCAGCUUUAUUCCUGUGUGUCUAUAUAGCACAGGCUCAUGUAUGUGUCCAGGGGUCUACAUUGUGUGUCUGUAUAAUACAUGCUCAUGUUUGUGUCCAUAGGUCUAUGUUGUGUGUCUGUAUAAUACAUGCUCAUGUUUGUGUCCAGGGGUCUACGUUGUGUGUCUGUAUAAUACAUGCUCAUGUUUGUGUCCAGAGGUCUACAUUGUGUGUCUGUAUAAUACAUGCUCAAAUAUGUGUCCAGAGGUCUACAUUGUGUGUCUGUAUAAUACAUGCUCAUGUUUGUGUCCAUAGGUCUAUGUUGUGUGUCUGUAUAAUACAUGCUCAUGUAUGUGUCCAGGGGUCUACAUUGGAUGUCGUCCUUAAUUGUUCUCCAUCUUACUUUUUGAGACAACAUCUUUCACUGAAC